UAACCGUGGAGGGUCAUUGGAAACUGGAGGACUUGAGUGCAGAAGAGGAGAGUGGAAUUCCAUGUGUAGCGGUGAAAUGCGUAGAGAUAUGGAGGAACACCAGUGGCGAAGGCGACUCUCUGGUCUGUAACUGACGCUGAGGAGCGAAAGCGUGGGUAGCGAACAGGAUUAGAUACCCUGGUAGUCCACGCCGUAAACGAUGAGUGCUAGGUGUUAGGGGGUUUCCUCCCCUUAGUGCUGAAGUUAACGCAUUAAGCACUCCGCCUGGGGAGUACGGCCGCAAGGCUGAAACUCAAAAGAAUUGACGGGGACCCGCACAAGCGGUGGAGCAUGUGGUUUAAUUCGAAGCAACGCGAAGAACCUUACCAGGUCUUGACAUCCUUUCGACCUCCCUAGAGAUAGGGAUUUCCCUUCGGGGACGAAAGUGACAGGUGGUGCAUGGUUGUCGUCAGCUCGUGUCGUGAGAUGUUGGGUUAAGUCCCGCAACGAGCGCAACCCUUGAUCUUAGUUGCCAGCAUUAAGUUGGGCACUCUAAGGUGACUGCCGGUGACAAACCGGAGGAAGGUGGGGAUGACGUCAAAUCAUCAUGCCCCUUAUGACCUGGGCUACACACGUGC
rnacentral:rRNA from 1 species